GAUGAACGCUGGCGGCGUGCUUAACACAUGCAAGUCGAACGGUGAAGGCGGAGCUUGCUCUGCUGGAUCAGUGGCGAACGGGUGAGUAACACGUGAGCAAUCUGCCCUUGACUUUGGGAUAACCUCUGGAAACGGGGUCUAAUACUGGAUAGGAGCUCCUACGGCAUCUUCGGCGGUUGAAAGUAACUGCGGUUGGGGAUGGGCUCGCGGCUUAUCAGCUUGUUGGUGGGGUAACGGCUCACCAAGGCGUCGACGGGUAGCCGGCCUGAGAGGGUGACCGGCCACACUGGGACUGAGACACGGCCCAGACUCCUACGGGAGGCAGCAGUGGGGAAUAUUGCACAAUGGGCGAAAGCCUGAUGCAGCAACGCCGCGUGAGGGACGACGGCCUUCGGGUUGUAAACCUCUUUUAGCAGGGAAGAAGCGAAAGUGACGGUACCUGCAGAAAAAGCGCCGGCUAACUACGUG
rnacentral:rRNA from 1 species